rnacentral:rRNA from 1 species
UACGUAGGGGGCAAGCGUUAUCCGGAAUUACUGGGUGUAAAGGGAGCGUAGGCGGCAUGGUAAGCCAGAUGUGAAAGCCUUAGGCUUAACUUGAGGAUUGCAUUUGGAACUAUCAAGCUAGAGUACAGGAGAGGAAAGCGGAAUUCCUAGUGUAGCGGUGAAAUGCGUAGAUAUUAGGAAGAACACCAGUGGCGAAGGCGGCUUUCUGGACUGAAACUGACGCUGAGGCUCGAAAGCGUGGGGAGCAAACAGG